GAAAUGCGAUAAGUAAUGUGAAUUGCAGAAUUCAGUGAAUCAUCGAAUCUUUGAACGCACAUUGCGCCCGCCAGUAUUCUGGCGGGCAUGCCUGUUCGAGCGUCAUUUCAACCAUCAAGCCCCGCGCUUGUGUUGGGGACCUGCGGCUGCCCGCAGGCCCUGAAAACCAGUGGCGGGCUCGCUGUCACACCGAGCGUAGUAGCAAUCACCUCGCUCAGGGCGUGCUGCGGGUUCCGGCCGUUAAACAGCCUUACAAAACCCAAGGUUGACCUCGGAUCAGGUAGGAAGACCCGCUGAACUUAAGC
rnacentral:misc_RNA from 1 species